rfam:Nicotiana sylvestris Nsyl_contig5628, whole genome shotgun sequence.
UGGACAGAUUAUUGUAUUCGACUGUAUUCACCGCGUGAAAUAGGGGAUUACACUGUUUUUAAAACGGAAAGUGAAUCAAUUAACAUAAUAGACUCCU